GACGAACGCUGGCGGCGUGCUUAACACAUGCAAGUCGAACGAUGAAGAAGAGAAACGCGAACUUCGGUUCAAAUUUCACUUCGGAUUAGCGGCAGACGGGUGAGUAACGCGUGAGCAACCUACCUCUUACAAAGGGAUAGCCUCGGGAAACCGUGAUUAAUACCAUAUGACACAUUCAUAAGGCAUCUUAAGAAUGUUAAAGCUACGGCGGUAAGAGAUGUGCUCGCGUCCCAUUAGCUAGUUGGUGAGGUAACGGCCCACCAAGGCGACGAUGGGUAACCGGCCUGAGAGGGUGAACGGUCACAUUGGAACUGAGACACGGUCCAAACUCCUACGGGAGGCAGCAGUGGGGAAUAUUGCACAAUGGAGGGAACUCUGAUGCAGCGACGCCGCGUGAGCGAUGAAGGAAUUCGUUUCGUAAAGCUCUGUUCUAUGGGAAGAAAAGGACUGUACCAUAGGAGAAAGCCCCGGCUAAAUACGUG
rnacentral:rRNA from 1 species